rnacentral:rRNA from 1 species
GAAUCUUCCACAAUGGACGAAAGUCUGAUGGAGCAAUGCCGCGUGAGCGAAGAAGGUUUUCGGAUCGUAAAGCUCUGUUGUAAGGGAAGAACACGUACGGGAGUAACUGCCCGUGUCAUGACGGUACCUUAUUAGAAAGCCACGGCUAACUACGUUCCAGCAGCCGCGGUAAUACAUAGGGGGCGAGCGUUAUCCGGAAUUAUUGGGCGUAAAGCGUGCGUAGGCGGUUUAUUAAGUCUGGCGUGAAAUCCCACAGCUUAACUGUGGGUGGUCGUUGGAAACUGGUAAACUUGAGUACAGUAGAGGUAAGUGGAAUUCCAAGUGGAGCGGUGGAAUGCGUAGAUAUUUGGAGGAACACCAGUGGCGAAGGCGGCUUACUGGGCUGGAACUGACGCUGAGGCACGAAAGCGUGGGGAGCAAAC